rnacentral:rRNA from 1 species
GAUGAACGCUGGCGGCGUGCCUAAUACAUGCAAGUCGAGCGAACGGACGAGAAGCUUGCUUUUCUGAUGUUAGCGGCGGACGGGUGAGUAACACGUGGAUAACCUACCUAUAAGACUGGGAUAACUUCGGGAAACCGGAGCUAAUACCGGAUAAUAUUUUGAACCGCAUGGUUCAAAAGUGAAAGACGGUCUUGCUGUCACUUAUAGAUGGAUCCGCGCUGCAUUAGCUAGUUGGUAAGGUAACGGCUUACCAAGGCAACGAUGCAUAGCCGACCUGAGAGGGGGAUCGGCCACACUGGAACUGGGACCCGGUCCAAACUCCAACGGGGGGCAGCAGUAGGGAAUCUUCCGCAAUGGGCGAAAGCCUAACGGGGAAACGCCGCGUGAGGGAUAAAGGUCUUCGGAUCGUAAAACUCUGUUAUUGGGAAAAAAAAAAUGUGUAAGAAACUGGGCACAUCUUGACGGUACCAAAUAAAAAAGCCACGGCUAACUACGU